rnacentral:tRNA from 1 species
AAAAAAUUAGUUAAAGAUAUAAUAUAAUCUUGUCAAGAUUAAGUUAUUAAAGAAUAUUUUUUA